rnacentral:rRNA from 1 species
GAUGAACGCUGGCGGCGUGCCUAAUACAUGCAAGUCGAGCGAACAGACGAGGAGCUUGCUCCUCUGACGUUAGCGGCGGACGGGUGAGUAACACGUGGAUAACCUACCUAUAAGACUGGGAUAACUUCGGGAAACCGGAGCUAAUACCGGAUAAUAUAUUGAACCGCAUGGUUCAAUAGUGAAAGACGGUUUUGCUGUCACUUAUAGAUGGAUCCGCGCCGAAUUAGCUAGUUGGUAAGGUAACGGCUUACCAAGGCAACGAUGCGUAGCCGACCUGAGAGGGUGAUCGGCCACCCUGGAAGUGAGACCGGCUCCAGACGCCUACGGGAGGGAGCCGUAGGGAAUCUUCCGCAAUGGGCGAAAGAUUGACGGAGCAACGCGGCGGGAGGGAUGAAGGUCUUCGGAUCGUAAAACUCUGUUAUUAGGGAAGAACAAAUGUGUAAGUAACUAUGCGCGUCUUGACGGUACCUGAUCAGAAAGCCACGGCUAACUACGUG